AGCAAUAAAUAUAUAAGUAAUAUAAUAAAAGAGAUUAAACAUAAAGAAAGGAGUAGAUAGACUCGAUCAUGAAAGGAUCAGAUUUUUUUCGACAUAGCAAUAAAUGCAAUUAAUGUUGCAUGAAGUGGGGGGUCAGAGUAAUCUUCUUUCUCUCUGCUAGAAGAAUAUUUGGGGGAUUUUUGUCAGACCACUUGUUAUACUCCUAUAUAUAUAUAUACUUACCAACCAAUCAUCACUUUCACUACCCCACCACCAAUCAAACAACACACUCCUCCGAAUUACUCCCAACAAAGCCAAAAAAAAAAGAAGAAAGAGGAAGUACACCUUCACAGUAGAAAGCUUGCAGUAAAGUAUUUCUCUAACACAUAAAAAGGUUAGCUCCGCAAGUAAGGUCGGAGUAAGAGAUUCAAGUAAGGAAAGUAAGCGAUCAAGGUUGAGUCGUGAAAAGGGGGAGGGACAAGUGCUGUGGAGAGCAAUCUAGUAACUAACUACGAAUAAAACUCUCGGAGGUUCAUGUCUCCAUACAUGGACCGCGUUCUUUUGUUUCCGCUGCCUGUGCCGGUAAAGAGGCAGUGUCUAUUUUACUUUUGACUCUGAUAAUCAGAACUUGUAUGAACAGUCACUCGAUUCUGCAUGAUCGAGUGUAUUUUAUUAUAAGU